GCGUUGUCCGGGAUUAUUGGGCGUAAAGAGCUCGUAGGCGGUCUGUCGCGUCGGUCGUGAAAACCUGCAGCUUAACUGUGGGCUUGCGGUCGAUACGGGCAUGACUGGAGUUCGGCAGGGGAGACUGGAAUUCCUGGUGUAGCGGUGAAAUGCGCAGAUAGCAGGAGGAACACCGGUGGCGAAGGCGGGUCUCUGGGCCGAUACUGACGCUGAGGAGCGAAAGCGU
rnacentral:rRNA from 1 species